rnacentral:rRNA from 1 species
CCUACGGGUGGCAGCAGUGGGGAAUAUUUGGCAAUGGGCGCAAACCUGACCCAGCAACGCCGCGUGAAGGAAGCAGGCUUUCGGGUUGUAAACUUCUUUUAAGAGGGAAGAGCAGAAGACGGUACCUCUUGAAUAAGCCACGGCUAACUACGUUCCAGCAGCCGCGGUAAUACUUAGGUGGCAAGCGUUUGCCGUAUUUACUGGGUGUAAAGGGCGUGUAGCCGGGCUGACAAGUCAGAUGUGAAAUCCGGGGGCUCAACCCCCGAACUGCAUUUGAAACUGGUGGUCUUGAGUAUCGGAGAGGCAGGCGGAAUUCCUAGUGUAGCGGUGAAAUGCGUAGAUAUUAGGAGGAACACCAGUGGCGAAGGCGGCCUGCUGGACGACAACUGACGGUGAGGCGCGAAAGCGUGGGGAGCAAACAGGAUUAGAUACCCCAGUAGUC